UGAAGGUGCAGCUUUAGUUG
rnacentral:misc_RNA from 1 species